UCGUAGCUUACAAAAAAUGUCACUUAUAAAUAUUAAGUUAGUACUAUCUUAUAUCAAAAAAAAAAAGUUAGUACUUCCUAAUAAUUUUAUUUAAUUUUUAUUGAAGUUAGAAGAAAUAAAUUUUUUUUUAAACAAACAAAAGACUUAAACAAUAUCCCACCACUAGAGUCCUCCUAGAUCCCUAACCUCUCGCUUUUGAGUAUAAUCAAAUUUCCCCAAUUUGUGUGCUCGAUUCAUCAAUCUUUAAUUCAAUUUGUGAGUUUCAAUCAAUCCAAAUGUCAAUCUCAACUCGUACUAAAGAACCCUAAUCAUUAAAACAGUUACCCUUUUCGUUGGAUCUUUGUUUUUAAUUACUUCCUUCUACAGUUCAAUUCGUGAGUUUCAAACAAUCUUGUCAGUCCAUACGAUUUGCUAGAAUAUUCAUCUGGCACGAAACAAUGCUCGUAUUCUAAUAUCAGGCUCACUUAAACUUUUCAGUGACCGGUAAACUUGUUUGCCUCUUUAACAUAUUGUUCUUAUAGCUAUUGAAGGGCUGUAUUGUUUUUUGUUGAUUACAAAAAUUCAGUUUCUUUGUUCAGAUUUUUUAGAUCAAGCUAAGAGUGCAAAAGGCUGGUAGCUCUACUAGAUUUGACAAAUCCGGCAAUGAGCAGUUUGUGACUGAAUUUAGCAAAUGGAUUUUCCAUAAGUUACUCAUCUUCUCCCUCUAAACAGAAGAAAGAGAAAUAAGACCCAGGUUCUCCAUUCAACAAUGGCGGAAGGUACCAUUUUCAUCACCAUAUUUUCUUCAACAAUGAAGUCGUCAAUUGCAAUAAUGAUCCUUCUUCUUCUUCCUCUUUCCUCCUCCAUUGAAGCUCACAUAAAAGGCGACACCAUUAAAGACGGUGACAUUAAAGAUGACGCCAUUCGGCGCCGAUAUAAACGAAAAACCCUACAAAUAAGGGUGAAAUUAAGGGCAUGGUCAACCCCAAAGGGUAGGAUGACCAUGUCCUCCAUUAAAGCUAAAAUUGGGUUUGAAGAUUGAAUUUCUCCAUUAUAAUUUUCUGAAUUUUUUCCAUUAUACAUACACCAAAUUGGAAGAAAAAUCGACUUACAAACUCACUAGCGUUUAGUCGACUCGCCGACUUUCUCUAGUGAAGAAGAUGAAUUUGCUUGUAAAUUUUGACUCACGACAAGGCUAACGCUGUUAGUUGAAUUUGCCUAACAAAAAUAUUAAAUGGCAAAAUUGUCCCUACUAUUCAUGAGUAAAUAGUCCAAUAUACCCUUUGAUAAACAACUCAUGUUUAUCAUAUUGAUAAAGUUGAAUUUUCUCAUAAUUAAUUGGGUUUAUAUAAAAAGAAUGUGGAUUAAAGGA